AUUGAACGCUGGCGGCAGGCCUAACACAUGCAAGUCGAACGAGUGGCGGACGGGUGAGUAAUGUCUGGGAAACUGCCUGAUGGUGGGGGAUAACUACUGGAAACGGUAGCUAAUACCGCAUACCAUCAGAUGUGCCCAGAUGGGAUUAGCUAGUUGGUGGGGUAACGGCGCACAAAGGCGACGAUCCCUAGCUGGUCUGCGAGGAUGACAGGCCAAACUGGAACUGAGACACGGUCCAGACUCCUACGGGAGGAAGCAGUGGGGAAUAGUGCACAAUGGGCGCAAGCCUGAUGCAGCCAUGCCGCGUGUAUGAAGAAGGCCUUCGGGUUGUAAAGUACUUUCAGCGGGGAGGCGUUACCCGCAGAAGAAGCACCGGCUAACUCCGUGCCAGCCGCCGCGGUAAUAC
rnacentral:rRNA from 1 species